rnacentral:rRNA from 1 species
UACGGGGGGGGGCAAGCGUUGUUCGGAAUUACUGGGCGUAAAGGGCUCGUAGGUGGCCAACUAAGUCAGACGUGAAAUCCCUCGGCUUAACUGGGGAACUGCGUCCGAUACUGGAUGGCUCGAGUUUGGGAGAGGGAUGCGGAAUUCCAGGUGUAGCGGUGAAAUGCGUAGAUAUCUGGAGGAACACCGGUGGCGAAGGCGGCAUCCUGGACCGGCAUUGACGCUGAGUGAGCGAAAGCCAGGGGAGCAAACGGG